rnacentral:piRNA from 1 species
GAAGGUGAUAUUCCCCUGGAGUGGGGCUGC